rnacentral:rRNA from 1 species
AGCAGUCGCCGCGGUAAUACGAAGGGGGCUAGCGUUGUUCGGAUUUACUGGGCGUAAAGGGCGCGUAGGCGGACUGAUAAGUCAGGGGUGAAAUCCCAAGGCUCAACCUUGAACUGCCUUUGAUACUGUUUGUCUUGAGUUCGAGAGAGGUAAGUGGAACUGCGAGUGUAGAGGUGAAAUUCGUAGAUAUUCGCAAGAACACCAGUGGUGAAGGCGGCUUACUGGCUCGAAACUGACGCUGAGGCGCGAAAGCGUGGGGAGCAAACAGGAUUAGAUACCCCGGUAGUCCCUGUCUCUUAUACC